rnacentral:rRNA from 1 species
AGAGUUUGAUCCUGGCUCAGAAUCAACGCUGGCGGCGCGCUUAACACAUGCAAGUCGCACGAGGAAGGGAGCAAUCCCAAGUAAAGUGGCGCACGGGUGAGUAACACGUGGAUCAUCUACCUUUUAGUGGGGAAUACCCCCGGGAAACUGGGGACAAUACCGCAUAAGCUCGUAAGAGGAAAGCAGCAAUGCGCUGAAAGAGGAGUCCGCGGCCGAUUACCUAGAUGGCGGGGUAACGGCCCACCAUGGCGAAGAUCGGUAGCCGGCCUGAGAGGGCACACGGCCACACUGGCACUGAAACACGGGCCAGACUCCUACGGGAGGCAGCAGUGGGGAAUCUUGCACAAUGGAGGAAACUCUGAUGCAGCGACGCCGCGUGAGCGAUGAAGCCCUUCGGGGUGUAAAGCUCUUUCGACGGGAACGAUAAUGACGGUACCCGAAGAAGAAGCUGCGGCUAACUACGUGCCAGCAGCCGCGGUAAUAUGUAGGCAGCGAGCGUAGUUCGGAAUUACUGGGCGUAAAGAGUGUGUAGGUGGUGCUCUAAGUUUGGUGUGAAAUCUCCCGGCUUAACUGGGAGGGGUCAUCUGAUACUGUUGGACUUGAGUACAGCAGGGGAAAAUGGAAUUCCCGGUGUAGUGGUGAAAUGCGUAGAUAUCAGGAGGAACACCUGUGGUGUAGACAGCUUACCGGACCAUCACUGACACUGAGACACGAAAGCGUGGGUAGCAAACAGGAUUAGAUACCCUGGUAGUCCACGCCCUAAACGAUGCAUACUUGGUGUGAGCCAUUCAUUUGGUUCGUGCCGGAGCUAACGCGUUAAGUAUG